rnacentral:rRNA from 1 species
UACGUAGGGGGCGAGCGUUGUCCGGAAUUACUGGGCGUAAAGGGCGCGCAGGCGGCCGUGUAAGUCCGCUGUGAAAGACCGGGGCUCAACCCCGGGGUGUCAGCGGGGACUGCACGGCUGGAGUCCCGGAGAGGGAGGCGGAAUACCUGGUGUAGCGGUGGAAUGCGUAGAGAUCAGGUGGAACACCGAUGGCGAAGGCAGCCUCCUGGACGGGUACUGACGCUGAGGCGCGAAAGCUAGGGGAGCAAACAGG